rnacentral:lncRNA from 1 species
UAAAAUAUUAAUUUUUAGGCUAAAUUAAGUAGAUAUAAAUUUUCAAGUUUUACUUUUGAUAAGACUGAUCUAUAGUAAUAGUACAUAAAAUAAACUAAGCUAAUUUUAAGCUGUUGAAUUUUAAUAUAAUUUGAUAAAAAAAUUCGACCGAACCACCAGUUCGAAUGGAUCAAAAUAGCUUUUUAACUUAUCUGGUUCAAAGGAUUGAA